AUUGAACGCUGGCGGCAUGCUUUACACAUGCAAGUCGAACGGCAGCGGGGUAGUGCUUGCACUACUGCCGGCGAGUGGCGAACGGGUGAGUAAUAUAUCGGAACGUACCGAGUAAUGGGGGAUAACCAAUCGAAAGAUUGGCUAAUACCGCAUACGUCCUGAGGGAGAAAGCGGGGGAUCGCAAGACCUCGCGUUAUUCGAGCGGCCGAUAACUGAUUAGCUAGUUGGUGGGGUAAAGACCGACCAAGGCGACGAUCAGUAGCGGGUCUGAGAGGACGAUACGCCACACUGGGACUGAGACACGGCCCAGACUCCUACGGGAGGCAGCAGUGGGGAAUUUUGGACAAUGGGGGCAACCCUGAUCCAGCCAUGCCGCGUGUAUGAAGAAGGCCUUCGGGUUGUAAAGUACUUUUGUUAGGGAAGAAAAGGGAAGUGCUAAUACCACUUUUUGCUGACGGUACCUAAAGAAUAAGCACCGGCUAACUACGUG
rnacentral:rRNA from 1 species